rnacentral:misc_RNA from 1 species
GAUGAAGAACGUAGCGAAAUGCGAUAAGUAAUGCGAAUUGCAGAAUUCAGUGAGUCAUCGAAUCUUUGAACGCACAUUGCGCCCCUUGGUAUUCCAUGGGGCAUGCCUGUUCGAGCGUCAUUUGUACCUUCAAGCUUUGCUUGGUGUUGGGUGUUUGUCUCGCCUUUGCGUGUAGACUCGCCUUAAAAUAAUUGGCAGCCGGCGUAUUGAUUUCGGAGCGCAGUACAUCUCGCGCUUUGCACUCAUAACGACAGCGUCCAAAAGUACAUUUUACACUCUUGACCUCGGAUCAGGUAGGGAUACCCGCUGAACUUAAGCAUAUCAAUAAGCGGAGGA